GGAUUAGAUACCCUGGUAGUCCACGCCGUAAACGAUGGGCACUAGGUGUCUGGGGACUAGUCCCCCGGGUGCCGUAGCUAACGCGUUAAGUGCCCCGCCUGGGGAGUACGCCGGCAACGGUGAAACUCAAAGGAAUUGACGGGGGCCCGCACAAGCGGUGGAGCAUGUGGUUUAAUUCGAUGCAACGCGAAGAACCUUACCUGGGCUUGAACAGCAGAUGCAAUCUGUAGAGAUAUAGAGUUCUAGUUUACUAGACGUCUGUAGAGGUGCUGCAUGGCUGUCGUCAGCUCGUGCCG
rnacentral:rRNA from 1 species